rnacentral:rRNA from 1 species
AUGGCUCAGGAUGAACGCUGGCGGCGUGCUUAACACAUGCAAGUCGAACGGAGUACUCUCCCGAGACUGAGGAAGCUUGCUUCUGAAGAAUCAUUGAAGUACUAGUGGCGGACGGGUGAGUAACGCGUGGGUAACCUGCCUCACACAGGGGGAUAACAGUUGGAAACGACUGUUAAUACCGCAUAAGCGCACAGUAUCGCAUGAUACAGUGUGAAAAAACUCCGGUGGUGUGAGAUGGACCCGCGUCUGAUUAGCUAGUUGGCGAGGUAACGGCCCACCAAGGCGACGAUCAGUAGCCGGCCUGAGAGGGUAAACGGCCACAUUGGGACUGAGACACGGCCCAAACUCCUACGGGAGGCAGCAGUGGGGAAUAUUGCACAAUGGGGGAAACCCUGAUGCAAGCGACGCCGCGUGAGUGAUGAAGUAUUUCGGUACGUAAAACUCUAUCAGCAGGGAAGAAAAUGACGGUACCUGACUAAGAAGCACCGGCUAAAUACGUGCCAGCCGCUGC